GCCAAAAACUUAGCCCACCCUCGAUUGAAUAGUCCCACAUACCUUUUUUUAUAAAUUAAAACAUUCUAACAGUUUAGUAAAGGCGAUUAAAAAAUUUAUUGGCGCUAUAAAAAUAGUACCGCAAGGGAAAAGUGAAAUAAAAUUGAAAUAAAUUUUAAGCCUAAAAAAGUAAAGAUUACCUCUUGUACCUUUUGCAUCAUGGUUUAACUAGUUAAAUAAAGCAAAAUGAUUUAUAGUUUUUAACCCCGAAACUAGACGAGCUACUCUAGGGCAGCUUUCUGAGCAAACCCGUCUCUGUUGCAAAAGAGUGGGAAGACCUUAAAGUAGCGGUGACAGACCUAACGAGCCUAGUGAUAGCUGGUUACUUAAGAAAAGGAUUUUAGUCCCGCCUAAAGUCAAUUUAAUCUAAUUAAAUAACCCUAUGACUUUAGAGUAAUUCAAAUAAGGUACAGCCUAUUUGAAAAAGGAGACAACCUAUACUAAUGGGUAAUUUUUUAUUUAGCAACAAAGUAGGCCUAAAAGCAGCCACCUUUAAAAUAGCGUCACAGCUUAAUUGUAAACACUACCACAAUACCUUAAUCUUUACAGACCCCUUUAAUUCUAUUAAGUAGUUCUAUAUUCCUAUAGAAGCUUUUAUGUUAAAACUAGUAACGAGAAGAAGCUCUUCUCUUAAAUGCAAGUGUAAAUCAGAAAGGACAAACCACUGAUAGUUAAUGCCUAUAAACUUUUAGUAGUAAAAAACAAGAAAACUCUACCUACCCCCACAUUAAUCUAACACAAGAGCAUUUCAAGAAAGAUUAAAAAAAGAGGAAGGAACUCGGCAAAUGUUAACCCCGCCUGUUUACCAAAAACAUCGCCUCUUGAAUACUUAUAAGAGGUCCAGCCUGCCCAGUGACUCUGUUUAACGGCCGCGGUAUCCUAACCGUGCGAAGGUAGCGUAAUCACUUGUUCUUUAAAUAAGGACUAGUAUGAAUGGCACCACGAGGGUUAUACUGUCUCCCCCUUUUAAUCAGUGAAACUAAUCUCCCCGUGAAGAAGCGGGGAUGUUUUUAUAAGACGAGAAGACCCUAUGGAGCUUUAAACUAUCUUUCAAUUACUAUUUGACUUACCAAGCUAAUGCAAAAACAAUUAACCUAGUUUUAUGAGAGCUAGUUUUAGGUUGGGGUGACCACGGAGUAAAAAAUAACCUCCGAGUUGUAAGAGACCCAUCUCUGAGCCGUAAGCUACAACUUUAAGCACCAAUUUAUUGACAUCUAUUGACCCAAAAUUUUGAUCAACGAACCAAGUUACCCUAGGGAUAACAGCGCAAUCCGCUUCAAGAGCUCCUAUCGACAAGCGGGUUUACGACCUCGAUGUUGGAUCAGGGUAUCCUAGUGGUGCAGCCGCUACUAAAGGUUCGUUUGUUCAACGAUUAAAACCCU
rnacentral:rRNA from 1 species